rnacentral:rRNA from 1 species
CUUCGGGAACCGUGAGACAGGUGCUGCAUGGCUGUCGUCAGCUCGUGUUGUGAAAUGUUGGGUUAAGUCCCGCAACGAGCGCAACCCUUAUCCUUUGUUGCCAGCGAGUAAUGUCGGGAACUCAAAGGAGACUGCCGGUGAUAAACCGGAGGAAGGUGGGGAUGACGUCAAGUCAUCAUGGCCCUUACGAGUAGGGCUACACACGUGCUACAAUGGCAUAUACAAAGAGAAGCGAACUCGCGAGAGCAAGCGGACCUCAUAAAGUAUGUCGUAGUCCGGAUUGGAGUCUGCAACUCGACUCCAUGAAGUCGGAAUCGCUAGUAAUCGUAGAUCAGAAUGCUACGGUGAAUACGUUCCCGGGCCUUG